rnacentral:lncRNA from 1 species
AUGGUGAAAGUGUAUGUAGGAGCUUGUGAAUCUAAGUAGGCAGAAAAGAUGAUUGAAAUUUAAUUGGAAUAUUGUAACGAUAUAUACAUGUAUGUAACUAUUUUUAUAAAAUAAUUGAUAUCUGUCCUUGAAAUUCCUUCAUUUGUUAAAUUCCAACACAUGAAGAAUGAUUAUUAAUCUUUCUUAAUUCCCUAGUUUAUUGAAGUCCAACUCAUAUGUGAUUGGUUGAUUUUUUUGAAAUAUUAUUAUUUGUGCUUUUAAAAAUAUUUUUCAACUAUAAUG